rnacentral:rRNA from 1 species
UACGGAGGAUGCGAGCGUUAUCCGGAUUUAUUGGGUUUAAAGGGUGCGUAGGCGGGCUUUUAAGUCAGCGGUAAAAAUUCGGGGCUCAACCCCGUCCGGCCGUUGAAACUGGGGGCCUUGAGUGGGCGAGAAGAAGGCGGAAUGCGUGGUGUAGCGGUGAAAUGCAUAGAUAUCACGCAGAACCCCGAUUGCGAAGGCAGCCUUCCCGCGCCCUACUGACGCUGAGGCACGAAAGUGCGGGGAUCGAACAGG